UCUACGUUUAUAAUAUCUUUGCUGACACCCAUUAUUAUUGUGAUGGCCUAUCUGAAACACUGUAGUUGAACUGUAACGUCAUUUUCUUUAUUAAGAGGAAUUAUUCGUGGUGUAACGAGAUAUGUCAAAAUGACGCCAAUCAAAGAUAACCAAGAUGUGGCAUGCUUUUUGGUAACUAAACACUCAUGGAAGGGAAAGGAGAAAGUGUUUUCAACCUCAGUGCACGGUGCCUCCUUUUCAAUCACUCAGAAACGGAUGGGCUUGGCAGCAACUGGUUAGCAAUUGAAUCCCGAAGAGAAUUGGUGCAGAGGAUCCAGUGCUGCCAGAUCGAGCUACAAAUUUAGCCCCAACAUACCUACCGUUUGGGAGCCGCAAAACAAAAGGUGCAUGA